GACGAACGCUGGCGGCGUGCCUAAUACAUGCAAGUAGAACGCUGAAGGAGGAGCUUGCUUCUCUGGAUGAGUUGCGAACGGGUGAGUAACGCGUAGGUAACCUGCCUGGUAGCGGGGGAUAACUAUUGGAAACGAUAGCUAAUACCGCAUAAGAGUAGAUGUUGCAUGACAUUUGCUUAAAAGGUGCAAUUGCAUCACUACCAGAUGGACCUGCGUUGUAUUAGCUAGUUGGUGGGGUAACGGCUCACCAAGGCGACGAUACAUAGCCGACCUGAGAGGGUGAUCGGCCACACUGGGACUGAGACACGGCCCAGACUCCUACGGGAGGCAGCAGUAGGGAAUCUUCGGCAAUGGACGGAAGUCUGACCGAGCAACGCCGCGUGAGUGAAGAAGGUUUUCGGAUCGUAAAGCUCUGUUGUAAGAGAAGAACGAGUGUGAGAGUGGAAAGUUCACGCUGUGAC
rnacentral:rRNA from 1 species